UACGUAGGGUGCAAGCGUUAUCCGGAAUUAUUGGGCGUAAAGAGCUCGUAGGCGGUUUGUCGCGUCUGCUGUGAAAACUGGAGGCUCAACCUCCAGCCUGCAGUGGGUACGGGCAAACUAGAGUGCGGUAGGGGAGAUUGGAAUUCCUGGUGUAGCGGUGGAAUGCGCAGAUAUCAGGAGGAACACCGAUGGCGAAGGCAGAUCUCUGGGCCGUAACUGACGCUGAGGAGCGAAAGCAUGGGAGCGAACAGG
rnacentral:rRNA from 1 species